CCUACGGGAGGCAGCAGUGGGGAAUAUUGCACAAUGGGGGAAACCCUGAUGCAGCGACGCCGCGUGAGUGAAGAAGUAUUUCGGUAUGUAAAGUCCUAUCAGCAGGGAAGAAAAUGACGGUACCUGAUUAAGAAGCCCCGGCUUACUACGUGCCAGCCGCCGCGGUAAUACGUAGGGGGCAAGCGUUAUCCGGAUUUACUGGGUGUAAAGGGAGCGUUGACGGCCGCGCAAGUCUGGAGUGAAAUGCCGGGGCUUAACCCCGGAACUGCUGUUGAGACUGUGCGGCUAGAGUGCAGGAGGGGUAAGUGGAAUUCCUGGUGUAGCGGUGAAAUGCGUAGAUAUUAGGAGGAACACCAGUGGCGAAGGCGGCUUACUGGACUGUAACUGACGUUGAGGCUCGAAAGCGUGGGGAGCAAACAGGAUUAGAUACCCGAGUAGUC
rnacentral:rRNA from 1 species